AUUGAACGCUGGCGGCAUGCCUUACACAUGCAAGUCGAACGGCAGCACGGGGGCAACCCUGGUGGCGAGUGGCGAACGGGUGAGUAAUGCAUCGGAACGUACCCGGAAGUGGGGGAUAACGUAGCGAAAGUUACGCUAAUACCGCAUAUUCUGUGAGCAGGAAAGUGGGGGACCGCAAGGCCUCACGCUUUCGGAGCGGCCGAUGUCGGAUUAGCUAGUUGGCGGGGUAAAGGCCCACCAAGGCGACGAUCCGUAGCGGGUCUGAGAGGAUGAUCCGCCACACUGGGACUGAGACACGGCCCAGACUCCUACGGGAGGCAGCAGUGGGGAAUUUUGGACAAUGGGCGCAAGCCUGAUCCAGCCAUGCCGCGUGAGUGAAGAAGGCCUUCGGGUUGUAAAGCUCUUUCGGCGGGGAAGAAAUUGCUCAGGUUAAUACCUUGAGUAGAUGACGGUACCCGCAUAAGAAGCACCGGCUAACUACGUGCCAGCCGCCGCAGUAAGAC
rnacentral:rRNA from 1 species